AUUGAACGCUGGCGGCAUGCCUUACACAUGCAAGUCGAACGGCAGCGCGGGAGCAAUCCUGGCGGCGAGUCGCGAACGGGUGAGUAAUACAUCGGAACGUGCCCAAUCGUGGGGGAUAACGCAGCGAAAGCUGUGCUAAUACCGCAUACGAUCUACGGAUGAAAGCAGGGGAUCGCAAGACCUUGCGCGCAUGGAGCGGCCGAUGGCAGAUUAGGUAGUUGGUGAGGUAAAGGCUCACCAAGCCUUCGAUCUGUAGCUGGUCUGAGAGGACGACCAGCCACACUGGAACUGAGACACGGCCCAGACUCCUACGGGAGGCAGCAGUGGGGAAUUUUGGACAAUGGGCGAAAGCCUGAUCCAGCCAUGCCGCGUGCAGGAUGAAGGCCUUCGGGUUGUAAACUGCUUUUGUACGGAACGAAACGGUCUUUUCUAAUAAAGAAGGCUAAUGACGGUACCGUAAGAAUAAGCACCGGCUAACUACGUG
rnacentral:rRNA from 1 species